UUCUUGAAACAACAGAAGCUCAUUUGUUUUAUUUAUACGCACAACACAACACUAUCUGGAGGUCACAAAUGUCUGUUCAAAAUUACUGUUCCCUCUGUUGCUAAAUCUGUUCCAUUGUAAUUAAUUAUUCUUUUUCAAAUUCCAUCUUUGACUCUAAUGAUUGCAUUUUGGAUCCUUUAGAAGAGGGAAAACUCCGAAAACAUAUGGAUAUUCUAUGGAAAUUGUUUGCAUGUGUUUUUGAUAUCAUAUUCUGCUUUCUAGAGUUUCAAAUGACGCCUUCUAAUUUUCCCGGUGGGCUGAUACUUUUUUUUUACUAGCUUGCUUAGUGUUUAUGUGGCUUAAGUUUUGAUGUGUUGUCAUAUUACAUUUUUUUUAGGAAAAUUAAUUUUUCAUGCUCAAAACUCGAUUGCAUUCUCAUUAAUUUAUGUUGCUACCAUUGGGCAAGUAGCCUAGUAGUUGAGUGUCUACUUUGUAGUGCUAUAAUUCAUGCUUAUGGAAUAUUUAAUUGUUGGAUUUUCAUUUUGGUUCCAAACUACUAUAUGAUGAAGCCCGCAAACCCCCAAAAGGAUCACCAGCAGAUCUGUGAAGUUCCAAAGCAUCAUCGUAGAAAAAACCCACAGCUACCGCCCGUGCAUAGGCUCAAGUGGGGGAAAUUAAAAGGCUGAGGCAAUGAAAGUUUCCCUUUGAACGAACUCAGGCUUGCUAACACUAGUUGGACUGGAUCAAAGAAUACUUUUAGAGAGCUUGCUGUUCAACUGGCAUUUGGGUGUUAUAUAUAAUGGUUCACCUGCCAUGACUGCUUGCCCCAACCCACAUCAGUACAUAAACUGAGAUGUCCUGAUUUGCCUCAACAUUCAGGAGCAUCACAUCUUGGAGUUUCUGAUAAAUCAAUUAUUGUCAAGAAUCCUAUGUGUCUAAUGCCUAGUAAAGCUGGUUAAUUGAAGCAAUAGAUUUUCAAUUUUUGUAGUUCCUUUAUUACAGUAGUUGGAUUUUUUUUUCCAUUGAUAAUUUCAUGUACACAUUCAUAUGUUGACAGUAAUUACAGAAAUUUCUUACUGCGCUGUUUGCCGAUUAUGCAAUACAAAUGGGAGUCUCCCAAACUUAGUUUGC
rnacentral:misc_RNA from 1 species